UUUCACCUCAGUCCUAAUUGAAGUUAUAAAGGUUUUACGUCUCAGUACUUCGUUGAAAGAGCCUUAGCCCUAGUCAUUAUCUAAGACUUGGAUUCAGUGCAUUUCACAUCGCUGAGCUCUCACAUGGCUCCUGGUCUUGGAAAUGGCCACUGGACUGCCUCCAUAGUCAGGUUCUAGUGCGGUUAUUCGAAUUAUGCCUGGUAAAAGUUUGUCAUCACACCUGCUCUGAUCCCCCAGGGGGGCCUGAUAC
rnacentral:lncRNA from 1 species